rnacentral:lncRNA from 1 species
CACAAAGACAGUUUGCUUCGCGCGGAUCUCAAUCCAUAACCUUUACUGGUCUCUGUAGAGUCAUUACGACCAUUAGGCUGUGGACUCAGCACUGCUUUAGCUCUUAAGUUAAUACAACCGAGACUUUUUUACUUUCCUAUUGGGAAGGAACAUGUGCAAUUUUAGUGAUUUCUUAGAUCAUUCCAUAAGUAAAUCAAAUAUUCUUUCAAGCCCAGUUAUCAAAAUUGUGUCCUUUGAUACCACGUCUUCCAUCAAACUGCGGAAAACAUGAGGCUGAAGAUUUUAUGACUCUGGAUAUCAGAAAUGGCAACAAUUACCCUCAAAAUCCAAUAAACAAACGUUACAAAACCAGAGAAAUUAUGAUGAUGAAGCCUAAUUGGCUGUAGACAAGCUUUUUUUUUCUUUCCAGUUUCUAAGUGAUAUUGGGUAUCUGCAUUUAUAACAAGAAAGUCCCCAUCUGUGGGUGCAUGCAGUAUCUGUCCCUGGUGUAGCAGAUGGAGGGAACCAUCCAGCAGCAAGGAGACCAGCUCACCACAGGACCCUAUCAUCUCCUUUUAGGGAAGCAGCCAGAGCGCCAGAAAAGAUCAUCCAGAUUUUCAACUUAUUUCGACUCUGCUGUCCAGUAGUCUAACUAAAUUGUUAUGAGAAUUAAAUGAAUUACUAUUUGGGGCUGGCCCGGUUGUGUAGUGGUUAAGUUCACACACUCCACUUCAGCGGCCUGGGGUUUGUGGGCCUGGAUCCUGGGCACAGAUCUACACUGCUCAUCUGGCCAGGCUGUGGUGGUGACCCACAUACAAAAAAU